ensembl:lncRNA
UGGGGGGACCCUAUGGGGUCACACUGGGGACAUUUGGGGUCAUUUGGGGUCAGAUAUGGGAUGGGGGGACCCUAUGGGGUCAUAUUGGGGUCAUUUGGGGCCAUAUGGGGUCAGAUAUGGGAUGGGGGGACCCUAUGGGGUCACAUUGGGGUCAUUUGGGGCCAUAUGGGGUCAGAUAUGGGAUGUGGGGACCCUAUGGGGUCACAUUGGGGUCAUUUGGGGUCAUUUGGGGUCACAUUGGGGCCAUAUGGGGUCAGAUAUGGGAUGGGGGGACCCUAUGGGGUCACAUUGGGGACAUUUGGGGUCAUUUGGGGUCAUUUGGGGUCAGAUAUGGGAUGGGGGGACCCUAUGGGGUCACAUUGGGGGACAUUUGGGGUCAUUUGGGGUCAGAUAUGGGAUGGGGGGACCCUAUGGGGUCAUAUUGGGGUCAUUUGGGGCCAUAUGGGGUCAGAUAUGGGAUGUGGGGACCCUAUGGGGUCACAUUGGGGACAUUUGGGGUCACAUUGGGGACAUUUGGGGUCAUUUGGGGCCAUAUGGGGUCAGAUAUGGGAUGGGGGGACCCUAUGGGGUCACAUUGGGGGACAUUUGGGGUCAUUUGGGGGGGGUUUCGGGGGGACAUUUGGGGUCACAGUGGGGGGGGGGGACACAGAUGGUGGCCCCACAGGGGGGGCUCCCUUAAAGGGACAGGCGACCCUAAAAGGUCCAACCCCAUUCAUCUUAAAGUGACAGGAGACCCUAAAAGCAAAACCCCAUUCAUCUUAAAGGGACAGGAGACCCUAAAAGCCCAACCCCAUUCAUCUUAAAGGGACAGGCCACCCUAAAAGCAAAACCCCAUUCAUCUUAAAGGGACAGAGACCCUAAAAGCAAAACCCCAUUCAUCUUAAAGGGACAGGCCACCCUAAAAGCCCAACCCCAUUCAUCUUAAAGGGAUAGGCCACCCUAAAAGGCCCAACCCCAUUCAUCUUAAAGGGACAGGCCACCCUAAAAGCCCAACCCCAUUCACCUUAAAGGGACAGGCGACCCUAAAAGGCCCAACCCCAUUUGUCUUAAAGGGACAGGCGACCCUAAAAGCCCAACCCCAUUCAUCUUAAAGGGACAGGCCACCCUAAAAGCCCAACCCCAUUCAUCUUAAAGGGAUAGGUCACCCUAAAAGCCCAACCCCAUUCAUCUUAAAGGGACAGGCCACCCUAAAAGGCCAACCCCAUUCACCUUAAAGGGACAGGCGACCCUAAAAGGCCAACCCCAUUCAUCUUAAAGGGACAGGCGACCCCAAAAGCCCAACCCCAUUCAUCUUAAAGGGACAG